AUGGGAGACUUCAAUGAUAUCCUUAGUCCAGUAGAUACGACUAGUAAUGCUAAACCAAAUCUUCAUCGUAUAAUCGACUUUAAUCAUCAUGUUAAACGAUAUGGUUUGAUAGAUAUGGGCUUUCAUGGUCCUGCUUAUACUUGGUGUAAUAAGUGUUUUUCCUCUAUUCCUACUUAUGAACAUCUUGAUCGUGGUUCUGCUCAUGUGAAAUGGUGCAAACAAUUUCGUAAUACUACUGUUUAUAAUUUGCCCAUCAUGUACAGUGAUCAUGCUCCAAUUCUUACUAUCUCGCAACCUCUCGUUGUUAAGACCAAAAGAACUUGA
rnacentral:rRNA from 1 species